AUGGACCAGCUAGAAGAUGAAGGUGACAUGAUGUUGAUGUGUGAACUCGUGGACGAGGAGGAUCCAGUUUUUCAAGCGUCGGUUAAAGAAAUUGUCGAGCUCCGUGAAGAAAAAGUUCGCUCUCAAGAUCGUGGUUCGGAAACUCGUGUCGAUGCUACAGACGUGAGGGGUGAUUUCGAAUGUUGUGUCGAUGAUAGAGACACGAAAAGUUAUGUUGAAAUUUGUGUCGAAAGUAAUGACACUGGUGGUACGUUCUCUAGCAUGAGCGUGAGGAUGGAUACGGAAGUAUCGAGUGGAUCCUCGUUGAUGAGCUCUAGCACAAGCAUGAAGAAACAUGGAGCUGAGAACACGUCGUGGCUCGAAGGCGAAGGGCACGGUAGCGUUGCAUGCAGCUCAGGAACGGGCGCAAAAUGCAACCUAAGCGUUGCUGUAGAAAGACUUGAAGAUUUUUUUUAG
rnacentral:rRNA from 1 species